CCCUUAGACGUUCUGGGCCGCACGCGCGCUACACUGACGGAGCCAGCGAGUAUAAACCUUGGCCGAGAGGUCUGGGAAAUCUUGUGAAACUCCGUCGUGCUGGGGAUAGAGCAUUGUAAUUAUUGCUCUUCAACGAGGAAUUCCUAGUAAGCGCAAGUCAUCAGCUUGCGUUGAUUACGUCCCUGCCCUUUGUACACACCGCCCGUCGCUACUACCGAUUGAAUGGCUUAGUGAGGCUUCCGGAUUGGUUUAGAGAAGGGGGCAACUCCAUCUUGGAACCGAGAAGCUAGUCAAACUUGGUCAUUUAGAGGAGGUAAAAGUCGUAACA
rnacentral:rRNA from 1 species